rnacentral:misc_RNA from 1 species
GAUGAAGAACGUAGCGAAAUGCGAUAAGUAAUGUGAAUUGCAGAAUUCAGUGAAUCAUCGAAUCUUUGAACGCAUCUUGCGCUCCUUGGUAUUCCUUGGAGCAUGCCUGCUUGAGUAUCAUGAGCAAAUCUCAAAGUCAAUUCCUUUUGUUGAUUCAAUUGGUUUUGCUUUGGACUUGGAGGCCUUGCAGAUUUCACAGUCUGCUCCUCUUAAAUGCAUUAGCUGGAUCUCAGUAAUUAUGCUUGGUUCCACUCGGCGUGAUAAGUAUCACUCGCUGAGGACACUGUUAAAAAGGUGGCCAGGAAAAUACUGAUUGAACCGCUUCUAACGGUCUAUUAAGUUAGACAAUUACCCUUAAGUUUGAUCUCAAAUCAGGUAGGACUACCCGCUGAACUUAAGCAUAUCAAUAAGCGGAGGA